GGGCGGGGCCAGGCAGAGGAGGGGCCGCGAGCCCUCCGAGGGCGGGAAGAGGCGGGCGGUUAGUCAACCGUCGGCUCUCGAGCGAGGCGGCGGCGGGGUGUUAAACCGGUUCGAAGGGAAUUUCUACCCGACUCGGAAACAGGACCCGAGGAGACGGCGUUUCGGCCGGGUGGAAGUGCAAAUGGAAACUGCGGCACACACACACACACAGUCCUAAGGCGAACCGAGGACGAGAGGCGUGCAGGACUGUGUUGGCAAGGUUUGGCUUGAUAACAAGGCUUAAAGAAAGACACGAGGACAGAGAGCUGGGAGGGAGGACUGAAAGACACGGGGAGAGAGCGCACUCGGAGCCCUCAGCCAGCUGUUUUGGAAAACUGAUGUGUUCGUUUAAAGAAAAUGUGGCUUCGCCUGAGAAAACGAAACUUGUCAACUCAUAGAAAUUGAGUUCACCUAAAUAUUACAAGUACGAGAUAAUGAGCACAAAAUGAGUUGAAUCAAGAGUUGUUGUUUUUUUAGAAGUUCUUGACAGAUACGCUAAGAAAAAUGAUGUAGUGAAGUCUGGUAUCCAAGCCCCUGAGCCCACUUACAUGCAGAGGAAUAAAAGUUUCAUUUAAAGAUAAAUUGCAACCUGGUGUUUAAGCAUAACGUUACAACCAUAAAGUUUUCUUAUGUGUUGUUUUAACACACAGCAUUCUGUCUUUAAACAACAACACAAAAAAAACGCUUUUUAGAUUUACUGUCUGGGCACUCCUGUUUGACCUCAUGUUUUCUGCAGUGCGCUUGCUGCAGGAGAGCUGAGCGAAAACAGUCUUAAACAGUAGUUUUGAACUGAUAAGAGUUUUCCCAGUGCGGUGCGCGGCAGUGACACUGGGC